UGGCACUGAGCAGUGUUGAUUGAGCUUCCGGGUUUAACUUGAAACUUCCUUUUCAUCUAAAUGCUGAUGAUGCAAGGGCAGCUGGAAUUGUGACGUGUGAAAGACCAAAAUAGGUUUGGACUGCCCUUUGCAGCACAUAUACACAAUUUGAUGAUUCCCAAACGGAGGUGGAGGAUGUCCUGCUGGACCUGAUUGAGGCCAAUCAAGACCUGUGCCUCACAAUCAAAGAUCUUGAUGAAGAUUCUGACAGCAAGACGUAUUAGAAGAAUACCAGACAACUAAAACAUUGGACCACAGAACCAGGAGAGAGAUUGCCAUCUUAGUCAGCCGCAUGAAAGAGAUGCAUGAGAGGCUUCCCACUCAUCAACAGAGAGAACGUUAUGCUCUUGGAAUUCAGGAGGCCCAACCCAUAGGAGGAAAACUGACCUGGACCACCAGCUUGUUGGUGAUGCCUGCAAGGAGGCCAUAUCAUUCCUUGUCCACACAUCCAAUGAAAAACACAUCUAUCAGAAGAUGUAGGAGGUAUUCCAGUAUCGCCAGGAGCUAGUUUAUAGUCCAGACAGAAGCACAGAUGUCCUCAGUCUUUCCCAGGUUUCUGGGAAUCAUACGAUUGGUGAAUCAGGACUUUUUGCUGAUGCUCGACGAUGAAACGUCCUCUAAGCUCCUUGAAAAAUGGGACACUGUAUUGAAGCCUAAAGUCAUCAAACUGGCAAAAUCCCUGACUACCACAGCUCCUGAAGUCUGCAGAAAAACUGCUGGAGAAUGACAGCAAAACCAGUUACUGGAUUCUCGUGGGUAGUGCAAUAUUUCAAAUUCAGGAUAUUGUUUUAUGUGAUUUGGGGUUGUUUGCUUUUUCUUUCCCUCAGACUGGGACAAUAUGUCCUCCCUGCUGCUGCUUCAUCUCCUCCCUCCACCAGCAGGAGGGAAGAGGACCAAACUCAGUGCCAGUGAAGCUGUCGGCAGACUAGUGCACUUUCAUAAGACCCUUUGUGUGUUGCAGUCAUGCUGCAGCAUUGAAGACUAUCUUGAUGGGAGCCAUGGUCGACAGCCAUACCUCCUUGCCGUCGGAAGAAGACAGAGCAAGAUUGACAACUACUACAUUGUGGUGGACAAGAGGCUAGUUCCCUGCCAGGCAAAUAGUGAUCUGUGUGCGUUUGAACUAUUCAAAGUCCACUUUGUCUUUAACCUGACAUAAACUCAGUAAAAAAAGAAACGUCAACUGCAUUUAUUUUCAUCAAACUUAACGUGUAAAUAUUUGUAUGAACAUAACAAGAUUCAACAACAGACAUAAACUGAACAAGUUCCAGAGA